GACGAACGCUGGCGGCGUGCUUAACACAUGCAGGUCGAACGGAAAGGCCCUGCUUUUGUGGGUUGCUCGAGUGGCGAACGGGGGAGUAACACGUGAGUAACCUGCCCUUGACUUUGGGAUAACUUCAGGAAACUGGGGCUAAUACCGGAUAGGAGCUCCUGCUGCAUGUUGGUGGUUGGAAAGUUUCGGCGGUUGUGGAUGGACUCGCGGCUUAUGAGCUGGUUGGUGGGGUAGUGGCUGACCAAGGCUUUGACGGGUAGCCGGCCUGAGAGGGUGACCGGCCACCUUGGGACUGAGAUACGGCCCAGACUCCUACGGGACGCAGUAGUCGGGAAUCUUGCACAAUGGGCGGAAGCCUGAUGCAGAAACGCCGCGUGCGGGAUGACGGCCUUCGGGUUGUAAACCGAUUUCGAAUGUGACGAAGCGUGAGUGACGGUAAUGGGUAAAGAAGCCACGGCUAACUACGUG
rnacentral:rRNA from 1 species